CCAGUCUGCCCCGAGGCCCUACAGAGAAAGCAGAGAGGCUAAUGGGAAAAGGAGGGUCAGACCUAAGGGAACAAGAAAUGGGGGUGAGAGAGCUGGAUACUAAUUGCUUAACAUGUAGGGUAUGCCAUCAGAGACAAAGCAGCAGGUACAGUACUUAACCCUUGUGCUCUUCUAUUGAGAAGCUAAUGGGAUAUCUUGGGAUAAUGACCCGUGCUACUGCUGUCUUCACAGAACUCAUGACAGGGAGAUGCCAGCUUGGGUUGCCUCCUCCAGAAGUGUGUAACUAUGUAAUCUAUCUUUGUCUUAGUUAUGUUUCUCAAUGGAACAUAAGAACCAGACGAGAACAAUUUACAAGAAGGAGAACUUAUUUGGGCUCAUGAUCUAAAGCCCAUCAUGGAGGGCAGGUUAAGGCAGCCAUGGCGAGAAGAGCAUACAGCCAGGACCCCUCACUUCACAUGUCAGAACAAGGAGAGGAGAGACAAGGAGUGUGGCUGAGCUGUAAACCCCAAGGCUUGACAGCUCCUCCCGUGAGGCUCCACCUCCUAAAGGAUUCAUAAUUUCUCAAAACAGUGUCACCAGCUGAGAGCCAAGUGUUCAAAAUGAGCCCGUGGGGGGGGGGGGGAGACUUUCCACAUGCAAACAGACAUCAAGUAAAGCCUUCUCUGGUUUGAGGAUUCGCUAAGAUGGCUUGCUAGACUCAGGCCUUGCAGUCGUUCACAGCAUUCCCUGCCCAUUCUUGCUUCUCUUUGUACUGAUCAUCCAGGGCAGCUCAAAACCCAGCUCCCUUAGAUCCACUGUGCAUCUCCCCAGCUGUUCUGUUCUAGGAAUCAUUAUUCGGCACAGUGAGCAUCUAAGACGUGAAGGCGAUGCACUGUCUCCCAUUGAUCUGUGUAUAAGAACGGAAUUCUUUUUUGCAUAAUUAAUGAAGGAUCAUAGUUUUUCAUUAGGAUUCAUGUUGGUCUCAUGCUCUUUUAAAUUCCUGUUAGUAAAAUGAGAUUAAUAACGGUUUGGUCUCUGUGAGCAGCACUGAAGUAGAAUAAGAAACCUUCAUCUACUUGAAGUCUGCAUCCGGGUCCUGCCUUGCCGCUCCCUGAUACUCAAGCCAUUCAUACACACUACACUUCCUAAGGGCCCUCCAUCGGAGUUUUGUAUUCUCCACAGUAGGAGGUAACUUUCUCAACAGCACAUCAGUGUACCCAACAGCUGAGUAUUGGGGCUACGGUCUUUACCUCAGCCCAGCAUCCCAAAGCUUGAGUCUGGCUUUAUAAAGCUGUUGUUGGAGAUGGAUGUUUCCGUUUAGAUUCUAGGAUGGAAUACUUAACAUACGAUUGUGGUUUUGAAGAAGAAAGAGACCUUGCCAUUAUAAGUAAUCAAACAGCCUUCAUCUCCUGAAAAAAAAAGGAGAGGAAAGAAGAAACUGAGACAAGAAUCAUUCUGGCUCACUGUUUGAGGGUACAGGGAAGGGGACAGGAGAGACAAGGCCACAGGAGUGUGACAGAGGCAGCUGGUCACAUUGUGUCUGCAGGCAGGAAGCAGAGAAAGUUGAAUGCUGUGCUCAGCCUACUGAUUUUUAUCUAGUCUGGGACCCCAGCCUAUGAAACGGUACCACCACAGUUAGGGUGGGUCUUUCCCCCGAAGUUAAUCAUCACUGUUUUUAGUAGUUGAUACGUAAGUAACACAGAAUUCAAAAAGCAAAAGGAUGUCUGAUUAAAAACCCUAAUUAUCUGCCUCCCCUCUUCCCCAUCAGUCUCUACUCUCCAUGGAGAUGACUGUCUUGAUCCAUUUCUUCUGCAUGAUUCCAGAAAUACUCUGUGCAAAUAAAGCCUGAAUGAACG
rnacentral:lncRNA from 1 species